AUUGAACGCUGGCGGCAGGCCUAACACAUGCAAGUCGAGCGGUUGAAGGGAGCUUGCUCCUGGAUUCAGCGGCGGACGGGUGAGUAACGCCUAGGAAUCCGCCUGGUAGUGGGGGAUAACGUCCGGAAACGGGCGCUAAUACCGCAUACGCCCUGAGGGAGAAAGUGGGGGAUCUUCGGACCUCACGCUAUCAGAUGAGCCUAGGUCGGAUUAGCUAGUUGGUGGGGUAAAGGCCUACCAAGGCGACGAUCCGUAACUGGUCUGAGAGGAUGAUCAGUCACACUGGAACUGAGACACGGUCCAGACUCCUACGGGAGGCAGCAGUGGGGAAUUUUGGACAAUGGGCGAAAGCCUGAUCCAGCCAUGCCGCGUGUGUGAAGAAGGUCUUCGGAUUGUAAAGCACUUUAAGUUGGGAGGAAGGGCAGUAAGUUAAUACCUUGCUGUUUUGACGUUACCAACAGAAUAAGCACCGGCUAACUACGUG
rnacentral:rRNA from 1 species